rnacentral:pre_miRNA from 14 species
UGAAAGACAUGGGUAGUGAGAUGUUCAACUUCUUCGUUGUCUCACUACCUUGUCUUUC